rnacentral:rRNA from 1 species
AGUGAACGCUGGCGGUAGGCCUAACACAUGCAAGUCGAACGGCAGCACAGUAAGAGCUUGCUCUUACGGGUGGCGAGUGGCGGACGGGUGCGGAAUACAUCGGCAUCUACUUUUUCGUGGGGGAUAACGUAGGGAAACUUACGCUAAUACCGCAUACGACCUACGGGUGAAAGCAUGGGAUCUUCGGACCUUGCGCGAUUGAAUGAGCCGAUGUCGGAUUAGCUAGUUGGCGGGGUAAAGGCCCACCAAGGCGACGAUCCGUAGCUGGUCUGAGAGGAUGAUCAGCCACACGGGAACUGAGACACGGUCCAGACUCCUACGGGAGGCAGCAGUGGGGAAUAUUGGACAAUGGGCGCAAGCCUGAUCCAGCCAUAGCGCGUGGGUGAAGAAGGCCUUCGGGUUGUAAAGCCCUUUUGUUGGGAAAGAAAAGCAGCAGGUUAAUACCCCGCUGUUCUGACGGUACCCAAAGAAUAAGCACCGGCUAACUUCGCG